CAGUCGCCGCGGUAAUACGAAGGGGGCUAGCGUUGUUCGGAAUCACUGGGCGUAAAGCGCACGUAGGCGGAUACUUAAGUCAGGGGUGAAAUCCCGGGGCUCAACCUCGGAACUGCCUUUGAUACUGGGUAUCUUGAGUCCGGGAGAGGUUGGUGGAACUCCGAGUGUAGAGGUGAAAUUCGUAGAUGUUCGGAAGAACACCAGUGGCGAAGGCGGCCAACUGGCCCGGUACUGACGCUGAGGUGCGAAAGCGUGGGGAGCAAACAGGAUUAGAUACCCCCGUAGUCCCUGUCUCUUAUAC
rnacentral:rRNA from 1 species